AGAGUUUGAUCCUGGCUCAGAUUGAACGCUGGCGGCAGGCCUAACACAUGCAAGUCGAACGGUAACAGGAAACAGCUUGCUGUUUCGCUGACGAGUGGCGGACGGGUGAGUAAUGUCUGGGAAACUGCCUGAUGGAGGGGGAUAACUACUGGAAACGGUAGCUAAUACCGCAUAACGUCGCAAGACCAAAGAGGGGGACCUUCGGGCCUCUUGCCAUCGGAUGUGCCCAGAUGGGAUUAGCUAGUAGGUGGGGUAACGGCUCACCUAGGCGACGAUCCCUAGCUGGUCUGAGAGGAUGACCAGCCACACUGGAACUGAGACACGGUCCAGACUCCUACGGGAGGCAGCAGUGGGGAAUAUUGCGCAAUGGAGGAAACUCUGACGCAGUGACGCCGCGUGCAGGAAGAAGGUUUUCGGAUUGUAAACUGCUUUGGACAGGGAAGAAACAAGACAGUACCUGUAGAAUAAGCUCCGG
rnacentral:rRNA from 1 species